CGCGUAGGUGGUUUGUUAAGUUGGAUGUGAAAGCCCCGGGCUCAACCUGGGAACUGCAUUCAAAACUGACAAGCUAGAGUAUGGUAGAGGGUGGUGGAAUUUCCUGUGUAGCGGUGAAAUGCGUAGAUAUAGGAAGGAACACCAGUGGCGAAGGCGACCACCUGGACUGAUACUGACACUGAGGUGCGAAAGCGUGGGGAGCAAACAGGAUUAGAUACCCGGUA
rnacentral:rRNA from 1 species